UACGUAGGCAGCGAGCGUUGUUCGGAGUUACUGGGCGUAAAGGGUGUGUAGGCGGUUGUUUAAGUUUGGUGUGAAAUCUCCCGGCUCAACUGGGAGGGUGCGCCGAAUACUGAAUGACUAGAGUGCGGGAGAGGUGAGUGGAAUUCCUGGUGUAGCGGUGAAAUGCGUAGAUAUCUGGAGGAACACCGGUGGCGAAGGCGGCAUCCUGGACCGACACUGACGCUGAGGAGCGAAAGCCAGGGGAGCAACGGG
rnacentral:rRNA from 1 species